rnacentral:rRNA from 1 species
CCUACGGGAGGCAGCAGUGAGGAAUAUUGGUCAAUGGCCGAGAGCCUGAACCAGCCAAGUCGCGUGAAGGAUGAAGGAUCUAUGGAUUGUAAACUUCUUUUAUAUGGGAAUAAAGUGAGGAACGUGUUCCUUUUUGUAUGUACCAUAUGAAUAAGCAUCGGCUAACUCCGUGCCAGCAGCCGCGGUAAUACGGAGGAUGCGAGCGUUAUCCGGAUUUAUUGGGUUUAAAGGGUGCGUAGGUGGUUAAUUAAGUCAGCGGUGAAAGGUUGUGGCUCAACCAUAACAGUGCCGUUGAAACUGGUUGACUUGAGUAGAGUUGAGGUAGGCGGAAUGCGUGGUGUAGCGGUGAAAUGCAUAGAUAUCACGCAGAACUCCGAUUGCGAAGGCAGCUUACUAAACUAUAACUGACACUGAAGCACGAAAGCGUGGGGAUCAAACAGGAUUAGAUACCCCUGUAGUC